GGUUUGGCUGGCUGGUGCUCGCAUCUCGUGUUGUGAUCGUUGAUGUCAAAUCCUCUUCCCACAAAGUCAGCUUGCCACUUAUUGCAAUCUACCCUCCUCCAUCGCAGCCAGACAUCAGAUUUCAUCGACUUUAUCUCUGUUCCCCCCUCUGUCAAAAUGUUGUGCGAGAAUGCAUAUUCAGGAUCAGUGUCCCGGUACGCCUCAUCUCGCACUAAAAGGGGACCAUGAGUGUGUGUUGCCUUGGGAAUAAUGGCAAAAAGACACCAGAAGAUUGCAUUGUAGGAGUCCAUUGGCAACACUGAAGAUCAAAUAAAAAGGCAGCAAAUAUUACGGAAAAAAUUACAGCUGCAGAAUUCCAUAGAAGGGUAGGAGGCUGCGAAAGGAAACCCUAGUGCUCUGCCGAACUCUACUUCGAGCGGUGACAGCCACCACGAUGAGCUAGCUUGUCCGGCUACGGCUCUGCCAGUUUCAUCAUGUUCCUCAACAAGCUUGCUGACAUCAAAGGUAUUUCUGUGAAAUCAUCCUAGCGAUGAUCACUGUAGAGAUUAUAUGAUCUUGUUGUUUCUCUGUCCUCCCAAGUUCAUAUAUAUCUCCCCUCGAAAUCCCUUUUCAUAUCUAUGAUCUCUGUUUUUAUUGUUGAUUACCAAUUACUUUUCUAGAACUGAUAAUACCAAGGGAAGAUGACGUUGCUUAGUUGUUGUGCUGGUGCCUGAUGGACAUCUCGGCAGGAUGUAAUAGUUGUUGUACUGUUGGCAGGCUUCUUGACUCUCAACCCCAUUCUUGAAAGGUGGGCUCUUAGGGAGUGGCUUGUGUUAUAAGGGCCCAACUAAGAAGUUUAAUUAAUUCGGAAGAUUGGGAAGUUGCAUGUCCAUUUUCUUUGUUAAUGUGUUCCUUGAAGAGUAUACCCUUUGAUAUUUAGCAACCAGAUUGUCACUUUUGUAAGAAGUUUGAACUUCUUAUUGUCUAUUUGUUUAAAUGCGUGAGUCGCCUAAAAGAUUAUCUGACAUCCAGUUUUGUUCGGGUGAAUGUCAUGCUUGUGUACAGUAAACAUUGUUGGUUUAAUUUAACAGCUAGGCCAUGGACAUAAUUAGCGUAGAUGCCAUUAACUAGGAUGUUCAAGCCAUUCGAUGAGCUCACUGUUGACAGCAAGGUUAUCUUCUGCUUUCAAAGUCAAUCUUCAUGUAUCUAUAAUCAGCUCUUGUUGGACACACUUAUUCUGUGAUGCUACAUUUGCAGAAUAUUUUAAUGUUUACUGAUUUUGAGAAUUCCAUUGAAUCUUGUAAACUUUUCACAGAAUUCAGGCUCCAAAUAUUAUCAGGCAAUAAUAGCAAACGUGAACUACAAAAGGUAAGACAAGAAACUCAUUUACUGAUGUGAGCUACUCUGUAUCGGUUGAAGGUUAAUUUUACUUAGCUUUGUUCGAUGGCAUGUGACGUUUAAAUGUAAAAAGACUUAAAAUUCAGUUGACUAUAUUUAAGAACUGCAAUAAAGAAGUGUCUGAUCGUCUCGGUUAAGCUAGGUAACUUCAUAUUUUUCAACUUUAUGCUUCAAAUCAGAUUUCAUCCUUGAAAUUAUCUCUACACUUUAUUAAGCGAACUACAUCAUUGAAUUGCCUGAUUUAGAAUUCGAACUAAGAUCCUUUGUUGUUCAGGUUCCACUCUUUAAUUACCAUCGGUAAAAAAAGAAAUUGACUGAGGUUUUAGGAAUUCAUUUUUCUCUUUUCCUGUCAUUUUUUUCUAUUAUGUAAAACACGCCAGUUGAAUUUAACCCCAAAGUACACUGCUUAUAUAAAUGGGACAUCAUCUGUAUAUUUUAUGUUGUCAUUUCAACUUUAACUUUGAGGGUUUCUGAUGUGUAGUCAAUACGAAGUGUUCAUGAAACUGACAUUUAGCAUGGCAUCAUGAUCUCAUCUUAUGUGGUUAUUGUUCCCUUCAGGUGUUAAAAGAUAGACUAUGAAAUUGUAUUGUUUCAUAAAAGUAUCUACUAAUAUCAACGUCCAUUUCAUGUAAUUAAAAUUUAAAGUUAAUUUACAUCCUUAUCUUUCAACUGUUUGCUUCCGAAGCUUUUGCCAUGACACAGAAAGAAUACCCAAGACACCAAAGCAGGGCAUUAUACAUAAGAAUAGUAAAGCUUUGUUGAAAGUGUUAGCAUACUACUAUGCUUCAUAUCCGAUUAUUUUUCUGCCUACGAAAUAUUUCUUUAUUAGUUUAGCUUCAUAUUUGAGGCACUGUAAACAUAUUUAUUACAUUGAGCAUUAGUCUAUUUGAUAAAUAUAUGUGCAUUGCCAAUUCUAGCAGAUAUAUCUAUCAGUCUAAUUCUAUAAUGGAUGGGUGUACGUUGCCUUGAUAUUCUAUUUCACGACCACAUUAUCAAAACCUUGCUAGAACUUAACCUUGGUUUCUAAUUUCUAGAGUGACUUGACAUUCUUGUAUUUCAUCUAUAUAAUUUGUUGAUGAUACUCUUUAUUGUAAAAUACCUUCACCACUUGUACAUGAAGAGUUGGGUUGUAAAGCUAAUGGUCUAUUGGACAAGUAAGAGAUGUUUCAUACCGUUUGAGUACGCAGUUUCUCAUGCUAUAGCCUUACAUGAUUGCAUGUUAUUGCUUCCUGCUUUUCAAAUGUUAUUUGGGGGACAGCCCAUUAUGCUUUGUGACCUUUGUCUACAUUAUAUAUCAGGUGGGAACUUGGUACUUUAGGGACUAAUCAGAUAGUAUCUUUUCAUGUAUGCACUGCACUCAUCUUGAUUAUUGUUACAAACAUGGCUAACCUAACAGUAUGUAUAGUCUAAGGAGAAUAAAUUAUUGUUCACUAAUAUCUCUUUGUAGAUAAAUACACAUAUCACCUCACUUAUUUCAACUGUGAGAUCAUUACACAAGUCCAUAAAAUCUGAGACCAAUAUCACCCAAGAGUCUUACGUGCCUAUACUUGAAAAUCAUUUUUUCCCGUAUCAUCAUGUGACAUGAUUUUGAGUUAUAUAGACUAGCCGCAUGGUCGUGCCUUGAUUCCUUGGUGCUAUUGUCCCAUUAUUUAAUUAUUCUUGUGUUAGUGAUUACUUAUUUUGAAUAAGGAGGCAAUAACCCCAGCCCCAUCUUGGUAAUACAACUCAUGAACUGAAUGAAAAAAAAAACAAUUAUGCAGUUUGCCUUUACCUUUGGAUUAUGCAACCAUGUUCUUUAAUUCAAACUUUUAUUGAUUUUGUUUUUGCCAUCUAUAAACAUGCAAUUGUUUCACCUAAUGGCAGAACUUCACACUUUUUUUAUUUCUAUGCUCCAUGCCGGUUUUUGUACUCAUGUUAUUUGUACCAUCCAUCAUGCUUAGCCUCCUUUGUUGUUGUUACAUUUAUUUGCUUUAUGUUAUUGCAGGUUAAUAAAGGCAAUGCUCAUGGCUAGCUGAAAAAGGAGUGGCGUGGUUCUGGUGAUAAUAAACUUGUUUUAUCUCAUCAGAUGGAACACAAUGGUUAUUGUUAGCAUGCCUCCAUGUUUCGAAUAGUUUAGACAACGCAAGUAUGCAUACAUGAUCCGGACUUGUGUAAGCACUUUCUUUGCCAUUGUUUAUCGUUUUUCAUCUCAUUUUGAAAUGUGUAUUAUAUCAUCAUUUCCUUAACUCGAUGGUACGAUUAAUGCUAUAAAUAACAAUAUCUGUAGACCCAGUGACAAGACAUGUUCAUAAUUGAGAUAGUCAACUAUUCAUUCUUUA